rnacentral:tRNA from 1 species
GGCUCGCAGGCGCAGCAGGCGGCGCGCCCCGUGGGUAUCGGGGAGGAGCGGGUUCGACUCCCGCGCGGGCCU